rnacentral:misc_RNA from 1 species
GAUGAAGAACGUAGCGAAAUGCGAUAAGUAAUGUGAAUUGCAGAAUUCAGUGAAUCAUCGAAUCUUUGAACGCACAUUGCGCCCUCUGGUAUUCCGGGGGGCAUGCCUGUUCGAGCGUCAUUAUAACCACUCAAGCUCUCGCUUGGUAUUGGGGCUCGCGGUUCCGCGGCCCCUAAAAUCAGUGGCGGUGCCUGUCGGCUCUACGCGUAGUAAUACUCCUCGCGAUUGAGUCCGGUAGGUCUACUUGCCAGCAACCCCCAAUUUUUACAGGUUGACCUCGGAUCAGGUAGGGAUACCCGCUGAACUUAAGCAUAUCAAUAGCGGAGGA